rnacentral:rRNA from 1 species
GAUGAACGCUGGCGGCGUGCCUAAUACAUGCAAGUCGAGCGAACGGACGAGAAGCUUGCUUCUCUGAUGUUAGCGGCGGACGGGUGAGUAACACGUGGAUAACCUACCUAUAAGACUGGGAUAACUUCGGGAAACCGGAGCUAAUACCGGAUGAUAUUUUGAACCGCAUGGUUCAAUAGUGAAAGACGGUCUUGCUGUCACUUAUAGAUGGAUCCGCGCUGCAUUAGCUAGUUGGUAAGGUAACGGCUUACCAAGGCAACGAUGCGUAGCCGACCUGAGAGGGUGAUCGGCCACACUGGAACUGAGACACGGUCCAGACUCCUACGGGAGGCAGCAGUAGGGAAUCUUCCGCAAUGGGCGAAAGCCUGACGGAGCAACGCCGCGUGAGUGAUGAAGGUCUUCGGAUCGUAAAACUCUGUUAUUAGGGAAGAACAUAUGUGUAAGUAACUAUGCACAUCUUGACGGUACCUAAUCAGAAAGCCACGGCUAACUACGUG